rnacentral:rRNA from 1 species
CAGGCUUAACACAUGCAAGUCGAGGGGCAGCAUGGUCUUAGCUUGCUAAGGCCGAUGGCGACCGGCGCACGGGUGAGUAACACGUAUCCAACCUGCCGUCUACUCUUGGACAGCCUUCUGAAAGGAAGAUUAAUACAAGAUGGCAUCAUGAGUCCGCAUGUUCACAUGAUUAAAGGUAUUCCGGUAGACGAUGGGGAUGCGUUCCAUUAGAUAGUAGGCGGGGUAACGGCCCACCUAGUCUUCGAUGGAUAGGGGUUCUGAGAGGAAGGUCCCCCACAUUGGAACUGAGACACGGUCCAAACUCCUACGGGAGGCAGCAGUGAGGAAUAUUGGUCAAUGGGCGAGAGCCUGAACCAGCCAAGUAGCGUGAAGGAUGACUGCCCUAUGGGUUGUAAACUUCUUUUAUAAAGGAAUAAAGUCGGGUAUGGAUACCCGUUUGCAUGUACUUUAUGAAUAAGGAUCGGCUAACUCCGUGCCAGCAGCCGCGGUAAUACGGAGGAUCCGAGCGUUAUCCGGAUUUAUUGGGUUUAAAGGGAGCGUAGAUGGAUGUUUAAGUCAGUUGUGAAAGUUUGCGGCUCAACCGUAAAAUUGCAGUUGAUACUGGAUAUCUUGAGUGCAGUUGAGGCAGGCGGAAUUCGUGGUGUAGCGGUGAAAUGCUUAGAUAUCACGAAGAACUCCGAUUGCGAAGGCAGCCUGCUAAGCUGCAACUGACAUUGAGGCUCGAAAGUGUGGGUAUCAAACAGGAUUAGAUACCCUGGUAGUCCACACGGUAAACGAUGAAUACUCGCUGUUUGCGAUAUACAGCAAGCGGCCAAGCGAAAGCGUUAAGUAUUCCACCUGGGGAGUACGCCGGCAACGGUGAAACUCAAAGGAAUUGACGGGGGCCCGCACAGGCGGAGGAACAUGUGGUUUAAUUCGAUGAUACGCGAGGAACCUUACCCGGGCUUAAAUUGCAGAUGAAUUACGGUGAAAGCCGUAAGCCGCAAGGCAUCUGUGAAGGUGCUGCAUGGUUGUCGUCAGCUCGUGCCGUGAGGUGUCGGCUUAAGUGCCAUAACGAGCGCAACCCUUGUUGUCAGUUACUAACAGGUUCCGCUGAGGACUCUGACAAGACUGCCAUCGUAAGAUGUGAGGAAGGUGGGGAUGACGUCAAAUCAGCACGGCCCUUACGUCCGGGGCUACACACGUGUUACAAUGGGGGGUACAGAGGGCCGCUACCACGCGAGUGGAUGCCAAUCCCCAAAACCUCUCUCAGUUCGGACUGGAGUCUGCAACCCGACUCCACGAAGCUGGAUUCGCUAGUAAUCGCGCAUCAGCCACGGCGCGGUGAAUACGUUCCCGGGCCUUGUACACACCGCCCGUCAAGCCAUGGGAGCCGGGGGUACCUGAAGUGCGUAACCGCGAGGAGCGCCCUAGGGUAAAACUGGUGACUGGGGC